UGUCUAUUCCCUAAUGUCUAUAAGAUCUACUCAGACCUGCUCUAUGCAUUCUGACAAGCGAAGGACCUACACUGAAUGGCGUGGAGAAAGUGUCUGAGGGAAGAAAGAAAAAAGAGAAAGUAGAGUAAGAGCUCCAUCAUAGUCAGGGUCACUGUGGAUCCAGAUCCUGGGAACACUGGGUACAAAGAGCUGACGGGCCCCAGGGUAUGGAGGCUAGCGGUCUUCGUUCAUUGGUGGUGGGAGUUUCCUUGCUGUUGUGUUCUUGUUGCUGCAUCAACGCGGUCAACAUCAUCAACAUCAUCGCGAUGUGAGUGUGGUUGUGUGGUCUGGAGUGGUGUUCGGGGACCCAUUAAAUCGUCAGCCAGCCUACCCGGCUUCUGAUGUGAUGUGGUUCGGUGUAUCCAAGUCCGUUGCGUCUCUACAGCAGGGGACAGCAUUGAGCCAGUGUCAGCGUCUCACCUGUUCAAGCCAGAGAGGAAAGCUGAAGUUUCUGUAACAUAACACAACAUUUCAAAAUAAGUCAUGGUCCUACAUAUGCAAGCUAAUAAGAGAGAAAUGAAAAUCUGACAAUUUACAUAAAACCUAUGACUUAUUGCUCAUUACUAUCCGCUGGCUAUUUCAUGCAUUUGUUACUAGGGUAAACAAAAUCUGAAUAUGGAAAAUUCCAGCACAU
ensembl:lncRNA